GGGACGAACGCUUGCGGCGUGCUUAACACAUGCAAGUCGAGCGGAAAGGCCUUUCGGGGUACUCGAGCGGCGAACGGGUGAGUAACACGUGAGUAAUCUGCCCAUCGCUUCAGGAUAGCCAUCGGAAA
rnacentral:rRNA from 1 species